CAUAACAAGUGGUGGGGCUUGCCUGCUUAUGAGAGAGGCUCUAUUGGCUUUGGAACAAGUUGAAGGAAUUGACAUUAAUAUUUUUGAAGUAAACCUAGGCCCUGGAACUCGAGGCACAGGCCAAGCACCCCUCAGGUAAAGCUUGGGCCAGGGUGAAACAAGCAUAUGCAGGAAGUGCAGCGGAAAAGUGGCCAGAGGACGGGUGUAAACCCCAGAGAACUGGUCAGAACUGACUGCAGAGAGGGUGGCAGGCACUGUCACUUCUGGCACAGGCUCAAAGGGGUUUGCAAAGAAAGAAAAAGGAAGAAGUGUGAAGACAGUCUGACAGGCGAUGAGUGUUCUAUUAGAGUGGGAUUUUUGCAUGUGGGAGAGGCCUUCUGAUUGGUUUUCAAGUAAACUUGUCAAUCGUUGAUUCAUUUACUAUGUAUUGGUAAGACAUGGGGAUUUUCCAGGCUGGGUAGGCCCAUAUGAUUUUUCCAGUUUUCACUGAAUUUGAAAAUGUGGUCGUCUGCUUUGGGUCUGAGUCUCGCAUAAGCGAUUCUCAACCCCGACUCUGCCUUCUAAUCUUAGGUCUUGGGCAAGACUGUUAACGUUUCUGGGCCUCAAUUUCCUUGUCUAUAAAAGAAAAGGGUUAAACUAUGUGAUCAUCUGGAAACCAACUCCAGGUGCUGAGAAGGCAGAGCUCCCUUCCAGGUGGCCCACCUCUUCCUCGUCCCCUGUAGUCCUCAGGCAGCAGGCUGCCCUUCGGCAAUCAGUUUACUUCUGGAAGCCGCUGUAGAUACUCAGCCUAAUUUGAUUUUCUGUAUGUAAAGAUGUGAGUAGAGUCACAGAGAGGUUUCCUCCAGGCUCUGAAGCCCUCCAGGGUCACUCUGGAUGACAAAUAGAAUUUAAUCAGUUGGUCACUGUGCCUAAAUCCUCUUGUCAUGGUGGUGAUAUUUGCAGUUCAAUUUUGUUUUUAUAGAAUAUGGGAUUCAGUGAUUUGGUGAGAGAGGGAGGUUUCUUUUGUAACCAUGAUAUUGACGUAUUAUUAAACCCCAAUUUGAGUGUGGUUCUCUGUUGAGCACCAUCCCCAAUGCAUUAAAUGGACAGAAACUUCUCUGUUGAAGCUUCCAGUCUGAAUCAACAAGGUGGUUCUCAUAUGAAAGGUAGACAGACAUACAGGCUAGUGCAAAAACACCAAAAAGUUAAUCCUGCCUUCCCAUGAAGUUGCCAUAUCUUUGACAUUGUGAACAAGCACCAGCAGACAGAUGAAGAACCUGAGGCUCACCUUGCUUAAGUGACUUGAGCAGCUUCAUGCAUCUUGUAAGUAGUAGAGACAGAGUCAAAACCAGAUCUUCCUGCCCUCUCUAUCAUAUAAGCCACUUACACUGAAUUACAAAGUGAACCUGAUCUAUGGUGAAUUGUACUAAUGUUCUGCUUCUGCCAUGGGCACCAGAGGAGACACCUUUCUUUGUUGACACUAAUCUCAAAGGCUAAAUUAGAUCCCCCAAACUCAUUUCCAUUAAUAACAUAUCAAAGACGUGUCAUGCACUAAUUUAUCCGAAGUGAUCUUGAUUCUAUUUACAUUUUGGUGCCACCUUUUAAUGUUACCAUUUUUAUAAAUUAAAUAUGUAAUAUAUAAAGCCAGUCUUCACUUAUCGAUAUGUUAAUUUUUAACCCAAACUUCUUAGUCUGACAUUCCAGCAAUACUGGAGCAUUAACAGUUGAUAAUAACUCUAUGUGCUACCUCUCCAAGAAACAAAUUUGCAUUUUAACCUGCACCUUCAAUGGCUGAACUUCAAAGGGUCACUGAUGAAUGCCACAGCAGGUUGGUGGGAAUAUAAUUCUUUUUAUGGAUAAUACUUGUGUGUGUAUGCGUGUGUGUGUGUGUGUGUGUGUGUUAAAUGCUACCACAUAAGUCACUAACCUAUAGGUAAGGCCAGUCUUGACCUAAAAUGAGGAAUUCUGUAAAAUUUCAAAUGCAAAUCACAUUUUGUUUUUGAUGUUAGAGAAAACUGCAAAUUGGAACAGCAGAGCUGUGCCUCUGGCCAUUUCCUGGAACUACAGAGGAGCAACUUUCCCCUGGUUUCCAGUGGGUGAUGUUCCUCUUCUGCCACAGCCCCCGGUGAUGUUGAUGUGAUUGCCAUCAGAGCGCAGAAACACAGAGCAGAAUCAUCCCCUGGAGGAGGAUUCCCUUCAGUUAUGUGCUUAUUACAUUGAAAAUUUGGAAAAUACAAAAGAGUGGAAGGAAAACAAUGACCGUAUUCCUAUGAGGGUUAUAUCAGUCUCCAACCCUGGCCUAUUCUAUUCCACAGGAAAUUGAUUGCCUCUUCAUUUCACAUCACAUGGAUCUUCUACACUGGUGGACCGGGAAGUCGCAAUUACUUUAGACACCUUGCUCUUGGCUCUUUGCUGGAUCCUAGUAUUUGACCAUGGACCAUUAAGUAUCAUGUGACCAGAAAUGUCCCCUAUGAAGUGAGUAUUGCUUAACCCGCCACCAUGUUCUGUUGGUUAUAAUCAAGUCACAGAGCCAGUCCAGAUCAAAGGGAAGGAAUUAUGCAAAAUUCUCAAUACCGAGAGACAUAGUUCAUUGGAAGACCAUCUUUGGAAACCAACAUCUAUCACAGUUGCCUUGGAUAUUUUCUGAAUAGAGAGAUUCUUACAUUAAUAACUGUUCUCUUUGCCAAUAAAUAUUUAUGAAGAACCUACAGUAUGUGCAGAACCUGAGCAUAAGUGGAAGAAACAGGGAAAGCAUUGCACCUUCCUCAAAGUUUGUGCAUUCUACCAUGAAAUAUUCACAUUAACAUUGAAGCUAAGAGUAGGCUGGAAAUCCCAGAAGUGAGAAUUAAUGUACUGGUACUGAUGGUCAAUGUGUGUAUUAUAGCUCUCUGUUGUGAUAUAAAUAGAUUGAUAAUGGGCUUCUGUAUAUAGUUGUAUCAACAAUAAAACGAUGGAAUGCUUUCUAGCUCAAGAUUUUUACAACCCAGUGAUCCUUAAUCUGGUAACUGAUUCCUCAUAAGACUCAUUCCUCAUAAGACCUGCUUACCUCAAAGAAUUGUUUAUGAGGAUACGUUAAAAUAAGUAUCAGAAAGGACCUUGUAACCUAUAAACAAUGAUACAAAUGUAAGAGACAGUUAUUGCAUUUUCAAAAAGAACUCAUAAUAGGCAUGAUGUAAAUAUUUGUUGAAUAAAUGAAUGA